GAUGAAGAACGUAGCGAAAUGCGAUAAGUAGUGUGAAUUGCAGAAUUCAGUGAAUCAUCGAAUCUUUGAACGCACAUUGCGCCCCCUGGUAUUCCGGGGGGCAUGCCUGUCCGAGCGUCAUUGCAACCUUCAAGCGCGGCUUGUGUGUUGGGUCUCGUCCCCCGUGGACGGGCCCGAAAGGCAGUGGCGGCGUCCCGACAUGGUGCCCGAGCGUAUGGGAAUCCUCUUCCGCUCGAAUCGGCCCAUGCGGCGCUGGUCGUAACCAAAUUUUUUACCGGUUGACCUCGGAUCAGGUAGGGAUACCCGCUGAACUUAAGCAUAUCAAUAAGCGGAGGA
rnacentral:misc_RNA from 1 species